AGGAAACUCACUAGAGUGAGGAAUGGCUCCCCAGAGGAAAGGGCCAGAAGGUUUUCACCAGCGCGAGCUCUGUAAUCACACAGUCGUGUGCAUCCAUCCCCAGCUGUCAACAGGAUCUUCUGAGUAAAACACAGCUAAAUAAAUCUCUGCAAUGAGGAAGGACCGCAAUCAAAGAUGAGGAAAUGGAGGAAAAGAAACUUCUUCAAGGUCACCUAGCUCAUAAAUGGCAACACCAAGAUUUAAAUUGAAGUAGUUUAUCUCGAGAGUCCUUGCUUUUGGAUGGGAGUCUUGUCGAUCACAUUCAACCCUAAAUACCCAUCAUGUAGAACAGUGCCUGGCACACAGUAGGCACUCAAUAAAUAUUUGUUGAAUGACUGAAUGAUGUAGUGGUUUCAAAGGAGACCCUAACCCUGGGUCUCCAUGAGCUUGCCCUUGGGUAUACCCUAUCAC
rnacentral:lncRNA from 1 species